rnacentral:rRNA from 1 species
CCUACGGGAGGCAGCAGUGGGGAAUUUUGGACAAUGGGCGCAAGCCUGAUCCAGCCAUGCCGCGUGCGGGAAGAAGGCCUUCGGGUUGUAAACCGCUUUUGUCAGGGAAGAAAAGGUUCUGGAUAAUACCUGGGACUCAUGACGGUACCUGAAGAAUAAGCACCGGCUAACUACGUGCCAGCAGCCGCGGUAAUACGUAGGGUGCAAGCGUUAAUCGGAAUUACUGGGCGUAAAGCGUGCGCAGGCGGUUAUGCAAGACAGAGGUGAAAUCCCCGGGCUCAACCUGGGAACUGCCUUUGUGACUGCAUAGCUAGAGUACGGUAGAGGGGGAUGGAAUUCCGCGUGUAGCAGUGAAAUGCGUAGAUAUGCGGAGGAACACCGAUGGCGAAGGCAAUCCCCUGGACCUGUACUGACGCUCAUGCACGAAAGCGUGGGGAGCAAACAGGAUUAGAUACCCUGGUAGUCCACGCCCUAAACGAUGUCAACUGGUUGUUGGGAGGGUUUCUUCUCAGUAACGUAGCUAACGCGUGAAGUUGACCGCCUGGGGAGUACGGCCGCAAGGUUGAAACUCAAAGGAUUGACGGCUGAGACGNGACGAGACGACGACGAGGAGGAGG